rnacentral:lncRNA from 1 species
CUGGAGCUGGUGAUCCUUCUCAAAAGUCUGCAGUAAUCCUAGCAAAUCAUGAUAGUUUAUCGCAGGCUUCAUUAUUCUAUAAUGAUUGAGAAAAGGUAGGUAAAAUUUUGAUAGCAAAUUGAGGAUAGCAUCCUUGCUUAACUAUUCAUACAAUGGAAAGCCAAGUUUACUAAGGCAUUCAAUCUACUCAAUCAUGUACAAUACAA